UACGUAGGUGGCAAGCGUUGUCCGGAUUUACUGGGCGUAAAGGAUGCGUAGGCGGACAUUUAAGUCAGAUGUGAAAUACCCGAGCUUAACUUGGGUGCUGCAUUUGAAACUGGGUGUCUAGAGUGCAGGAGAGGUAAGUGGAAUUCCUAGUGUAGCGGUGAAAUGCGUAGAGAUUAGGAAGAACACCCGUGGCUAAGGCGGCUCUCUAGUACGGUACUGACGCUGAGACGCGAAAGCGUGGGGAGCGAACAGG
rnacentral:rRNA from 1 species